rnacentral:lncRNA from 1 species
AUGAGUCCGGGAACAGCCCUGGAAUUCUGUCCCACCUCUGGAUUUGGGAAUGAAUCCACCCAAAAGUGGAAAAUCCCGAGUUUUCCUUCAUCCCUGCGCUCCGUUUUCCCGGAGAACAGGAGAUCCCGCAGAGUUUUCCGAGGAGAUCCCAAAUUUUGGGGUGGAUUUGGGGGAGUCUGGAGAAAAUCCCUGGGGCAGCAGCUCCCGCUUUUAUCCCAAAACGGGAAUUUUCCAGCCCAGACCCCCAGGGAAGCACGGGAGGGAUCAAAUCCCAGACAUUCCUUGGGAUUUCUGGGAAGCGGGAUCAAUCCGUCAGCUUUUCCCUCCCCUCCCUGCAUCCUGAAAAUCCCAAAAUUCCCAAAAUUCCCAGAAUUCCCAGACGUUUCCCUCAGCAGCACCGAGAUCGAUCCGGAGCCUCGGCAGUGCCCAAAGGGAGAUCCCGGGUUUUCCCUGGAUCCGGGAAAUGUUGGGAAAGGGAAAAUCUCUUUCCUGGCGGGAAUUUGGGCACCUGGAAUUUUGUUCCCGAUGAAAACUCGGGAAGGUUUGAGUUUAUUCCCGAUUAAAAAUUCACUCUGGGAAAGUCUCAUCCGUGUCCGACUGUUGUUGCUGUGGAAUCCUGAUCCCGAAUUCCAGAGCUGGGAGAGCUGGGAAUGUUCUCCUGGAGAAGGGAAGGAUCCAGGGAGAGCUUCCAGCACAUUCCAGGAGAUCAAGGGGAUCCAGGAGAGCUGGAAUUUGGGAAAGGCCUGGAAGGGCAGGAAAUGGCUCCAGAUUGGAAAAGGGGAAUUGGGGUGGGAUUUGGGAAUUCCCAGAGCAGCUGUGGCUGCCCCUGGAACCCGGGAAUGGCCAAGGAAGGGUUGGAGAAGCCUGGGAUGGGGGGAUUGGAAUGGGAUGGGAUUGAAGGUCCCUGGAUCCCAUCCCAAAGCAUUCCGGGAUUCUGGGAUUUGGGAGGCUCCGAAUCCAUGCCGAGGGAUUUUUCUGGGAAAUGGGGAUGGGAAAGAGAGGGAAAGGGAAGGGAGAGCCUUGGUGGCUUCCUGA